rnacentral:rRNA from 1 species
GGCUACGAGGACGAACGCUGGCGGCGUGCCUAACACAUGCAAGUCGAGCGAGUGAAUCUCCUUGGGAGUGAAACUAGCGGCGGACGGGUGAGUAACACGUGGGCAACCUGCCUCAUAGAGGGGAAUAGCCUUUCGAAAGGAAGAUUAAUACCGCAUAAGAUUGUAGCUUCGCAUGAAGUAGCAAUUAAAGGAGUAAUCCGCUAUGAGAUGGGCCCGCGGCGCAUUAGCUAGUUGGUGAGGUAACGGCUCACCAAGGCGACGAUGCGUAGCCGACCUGAGAGGGUGAUCGGCCACAUUGGGACUGAGACACGGCCCAGACUCCUACGGGAGGCAGCAGUGGGGAAUAUUGCACAAUGGGGGAAACCCUGAUGCAGCAACGCCGCGUGAGUGAUGACGGCCUUCGGGUUGUAAAGCUCUGUCUUCAGGGACGAUAAUGACGGUACCUGAGGAGGAAGCCACGGCUAACUACGUG